rnacentral:tRNA from 1 species
ACUCUUUUAGUAUAAAAAGUAUAUUUGACUUCCAAUCAAAAGGUUUAAAUUUAAAAAGAGUA